rnacentral:rRNA from 1 species
UACGAAGGGGGCUAGCGUUGCUCGGAAUCACUGGGCGUAAAGGGUGCGUAGGCGGGUCUUUAAGUCAGGGGGGAAAUCCUGGAGCUCAACUCCAGAACUGCCUUUGAUACUGAUGAUCUUGAGUUCGGGAGAGGUGAGUGGAACUGCGAGUGUAGAGGUGAAAUUCGUAGAUAUUCGAAGAACACCAGUGGCGAAGGCGGCUCACUGGCCCGAUACUGACGCUGAGGCACGAAAGCGUGGGGAGCAAACAGG